GAUUAACGCUGGCGGCGUGCCUAAUGCAUGCAAGUCGAACGUGGUCUCUUCGGAGAUUAACGUGGCGGACGGGUGAGGAACACGUGGGGAACCUGCCCAUUGGUGGGGGGUAGCCCGCGGAAACGCGGGGUAAUUCCGCAUACGCUGGCCGGCCGAUAGGGUUGGUCAGGAAAGGGUCUUCGGACUCGCCGAUGGAGGGGCCUGCGUCCGAUUAGCUAGUUGGUGGGUAACGGCCUACCAAGGCGGUGAUCGGUAGCUGGUCUGAGAGGACGGCCAGCCACACUGGGACUGAGACACGGCCCAGACUCCUACGGGUGGCAG
rnacentral:rRNA from 1 species